AAGUCGUAACAAGGUUUCCGUAGGUGAACCUGCGGAAGGAUCAUUAAUGAUGUUUAUUUUUCUAUGUUGGGAAAUUGUCUGCUGUUGUGGGGAUAUUUUUGUCCCCGCGCUAGUCAACGUGAUCUUUAUUCUAGUCUGACUUUUAUAUUUAAUUUAAAAGACAACUUUUAGCAACGGAUCUCUUGGCUCUC
rnacentral:misc_RNA from 1 species